rnacentral:rRNA from 1 species
AGAGUUUGAUCCUGGCUCAGGACGGGGGGGGGGCGGCGUGCCUAACACAUGCAAGUCGAACGAGGUUAAUCCGGUAGCAAUACUGGUGACUGCCUAGUGGCGAACGGGUGAGUAGCACGUGAGCAACCUGCCCCGAAGACCGGGACAACACCGGGAAACCGGUGCUAAUACCGGAUACCCCCACCUAAUCGCAUGAUCUGGUGAGGAAAUGGAUUCCGCUUCGGGAGGGGCUCGCGGCCUAUCAGCUAGUUGGUGAGGUAACGGCUCACCAAGGCUUCGACGGGUAGCUGGUCUGAGAGGACGAUCAGCCACACUGGGACUGAGACACGGCCCAGACUCCUACGGGAGGCAGCAGUGGGGAAUCUUGCACAAUGGGCGAAAGCCUGAUGCAGCAACGCCGCGUGAGGGACGAAGGCUUUCUGAGUUGUAAACCUCUUC